rnacentral:misc_RNA from 1 species
AACAUCGCGCACCUGCGGGAACCUGCGGAAGGAUCAUUACACAAUACAAUAUGAAGGCUGUCCGCAGCUGGAGUAUUUUAUUACCCUUGUCUUUUGCGCACUUGUUGUUUCCUGGGCGGGUUCGCUCGCCACCAGGACCACCAAAUAAACCUUUUUUAUGCAGUUGCAAUCAGCGUCAGUACAAACAAUGUAAAUCAUUUACAACUUUUAGCAACGGAUCU